GGGCCUAGGGUUUCCUGCAUCUGGCUCAAUGACUUCCACACUAAGCAUUUCCCAGUUCAUGGAGAACGACACUCAUUGGAAUCCACUACGAGGCUUUUGGGUCCUCUGACAGGAAUCAUCGAAGAUUGCCUGAUGCCAGCACAAGGCAGCUCAUUGUCUCAGGAAUCUACAGUGGCUCUUGAUGGUACUGCUGGACACCCUUUUCAGGAUUGCUAUCACCACAGACGGCCUUUGAGACACUGACUCAACAUCAUCUGCAACUGUGAGAAGCCAAUCAGAGGUGUGAGAACACAGCUCCACCUUGGUCUUGC
rnacentral:lncRNA from 1 species